GUGCUACUGUGUUCACAGAUACUAAAACUGGAAAAAAUACAGAGAAGAAUCACAUGGCCCCUGCCCAAAGGUGACACCCAAAUUUGCAAAGCAUUCCAUGUUGGU
ensembl:snRNA U6 U6 spliceosomal RNA